CCUACGGGAGGCAGCAGUGGGGAAUAUUGGGCAAUGGGCGCAAGCCUGACCCAGCAACGCCGCGUGAAGGAAGAAGGCUCUCGGGUUGUAAACUUCUUUUAUCAGGGACGAAGCAAGUGACGGUACCUGAUGAAUAAGCCACGGCUAACUACGUGCCAGCAGCCGCGGUAAUACGUGGGUGGCAAGCGUUAUCCGGAGUUACUGGGUGUAAAGGGCGUGUAGGCGGGAAAGCAAGUCAGAUGUGAAGACCAUGGGCUCAACCUGUGGCCUGCAUUUGAAACUGUUUUUCUUGAGUACUGGAGAGGCAGACGGAAUUCCUAGUGUAGCGGUGAAAUGCGUAGAUAUUAGGAGGAACACCAGUGGCGAAGGCAGUCUGCUGGACAGCAACUGACGCUGAGGAGCGAAAGCGUGGGGAGCAAACAGGAUUAGAUACCCCAGUAGUC
rnacentral:rRNA from 1 species